GUCAGCAUGGCAUAGUGGUUUGAGUGUUAGACUACAACUCUGGUGAACCAGGGUUCAACUCCUGCUCAGCCA